rnacentral:misc_RNA from 1 species
GUGAAGAACGUAGCGAAAUGCGAUAAGUAAUGUGAAUUGCAGAAUUCAGUGAAUCAUCGAAUCUUUGAACGCAUCUUGCGCUCCUUGGUAUUCUGAGGAGCAUGCCUGUUUGAGUGUCAUUAAAUUCUCAACUACACUGACUUUGAAUUGGUGUGGCUUGGAUUUGGGGGAAAAUUGUUGUGGGCUUUUUGUAUAGUCUGCUCCCCUGAAAUUGAUUAGCGGUACCUUUGUGGAACUGUCUACAGGUGUGAUAAUUAUCUACAUCUUAGACAUCUGCUGGAAUGCUGCUCUCUAAACCUUACUUGUAUUGACAAUCUUGACCUCAAAUCAGGUAGGACUACCCGCUGAACUUAAGCAUAUCAAUAAGCGGAGGA